rnacentral:misc_RNA from 1 species
UUUCCGUAGGUGAACCUGCGGAAGGAUCAUUAAAGAGAUCAUGCCCUCACGGGUUUACCUCCCACCCUUUGUUUUCAAUACCUUUGUUGCUUUGGCGGGCCCGUUUGGGCCCGCGCUGAACAACCGGCCCCGGCUCGUCGAUGACAGCCAGAGAUGCGAAAACUCUCAAGUAAAUGUCUUCUGAUUCCUAUGUAAUAGUUAAAACUUUCAACAACGGAUCUCUUGGUUCUG